rnacentral:lncRNA from 1 species
UUCCCAAUUCGAUAUGGUGCUGCAGCCUUCUUCGUAAGCUUGCUGCCGAUCGUCCUUCGUAAGAACAGAUUGCACCAUCACUUGUAUCCCUCUGAGACCUCUACUAAGAUCACUCUAAGAAUCUUUCCUCAAAUGAUAUCACUAUACAAAUAUCAGAUUAUAUGUUCAACACAUGAACAAUCUGAUUUUAAGACAAGCAUCACAUGCUUUCCUUUUUUCUUCCUCUCUUCCUUUCUAUUUUCUUUCUCCCUUUUUCUUGUCUUUAUCCCAAAUUUG